GAUGGUGCAAGCUUGAAGAGCAGGUGCCUUCAAACCAGACCUCCAAGGAGGAGCAGACUCCCGUCAGGGCCGGGGCUCUGGGGAGGGGGGCAGGAUGGCAGUGGCUAAGGGCAAUCCAAACAUCAUUUCUAAAAGUUAAAAAUAGGACUUUCUAACAACACAGAGCGAAUGCUUGUCAAAGAUUAACCUACCUCGCUGCACAGGGAACUGGCAGGAUAGUGAACCCAACUCAAAGGAGAAUUUGAGGAGCAGAUGCUGGUGUGGCAAGCCAGGAAAAGUGGGUUGAAAUGAGGCUGCUACAUGAAAGACAAACCUGGUUAGUGUCCUCCAGGGCAGGAAAGUCACAGCCUGUGGGGAUACCUUCUUUACCAGAGAGAAGUCAUUUGCAUCUCCGCUGGGCUGAAAUCUACCACUUGACAAGCAGUUUCAGAGUCUGAGCCCUAAUCAAUAGGAAAAAGCAAGGCAACCAGAGGCACAUCCUCAAAGAAUUAACUCGGGGGGGUGUGUGGGCUCUUUGUAGCCCGCUGUGGUGGUGAAAGUCAUCCUUUUGCCUGUUUCCAAGGUGUGAAUUGUUUAAAAACUCCUGCAUAUUCCGGAGGCCGUGCUGUGUUCACAUCCCACCUUUGUACCGCUGGGGCCCUGGGAACGCACCACCCCCAGGUGGAGUGUGGGCUUCUCACUGAGGGCUGGGACAUCAUCUUGCACACAGCACAGGUGUGCCCUGAAGGCUGAGUGAGUCUACACAUCAAGUCCUGGCCCAGCCACACUCAAUAAGGGUCACUGAUAAUUAUAGCGCCAUAUGAAUAUUAAUGUAGGAAAGUCCCCAAAUCACAAAGACUUUAAAUAGCUGCUGGGUUGGAGCCAAAGCCACAGACAGGGGAGGGCCAUGGAAGGCAGUGGUUCCCAUUUACAGACGGAUGGAUAAAAACUCUGGGCUGGCCUGGGAAGCAGCCUGAAUUCCCAUUUCAGACCCUGGACCUCGGGCAAUCCUGGACAGACGGCUGCCCCCGUGCCCAGGGCAUUCUGGACUCAGAAUGGCAGGUCAGCUCCCCUGGCAUUCUCUUGCUGACCCAAGUUUCCACCUUCCAAUUUCCCCCUCAGCUUCCUGAGCCCCGGUGCUCUUAGCCACCAACGGCUGAGACAGGAAGGCAGCCCACCUGUGCCAAGCAGCCCAGCCUCUCCUAGGAUCCUACCGGCCCACCCCUCUGAGUGGCCCUACCUGCCGCUUCAGACACAGAAUGCUGAGGACCGCUGCAGAGAUGGCCUGGGCUCCAGGCAGGGCUCGGCUCUCACCUGCAGAUCAGAUGACACCCAGUAACUUGGAGGCCCCUGAGAAGCAACCAGCCAGCCCCAGAACGGGCUUGUGUCCACCCUCCUCUCCUGGGAGAUCACUUCUCACUCCUGGGCAAUUGGCACCCCAGCCCUCGCCCACCCCACGCCUUGUCCCCACACUCCUAGGCCUGGAGACUCCAGCAAGGAAGGAAGUUGUGGCCUCCUCCUGGGAGCCCCUUCCUGACUCUGAAGCCCCUGGUUCACGUCUGCAGAAGGGACAAGGCGCCUGCCUGGGCUCUGGUGUGGGCUCCCUGGGGUUGGGGAUGAUGGCCCCCGCUGUCUGUGGUGACAGUGCAGGGUGCUGAGCCGUGACCGCACUUGCGUGCUCUGGUGGAACACGCGGCCCACAGUCUGCUUGAGGGGACACAGGACCACUGGGGCCUCACUCUACACUCGGCACCGUGGGCUCCUGUCUGCUCCUGCCGGAGCCCCUGAGUGAUGACAUCUGCUGGGCUGAUGUCUUCUUAGGUAAAUACGCUCUUUGUCUUGCCCCAGCUUUCUUCUUCAUGAAUUUUUAAAGUACACUGAGAUCUUCAAACAGUGGCUGCCCUUCCGGGCAAACAGAUCCAGAACUUGGCCGUGGAAGCUGGUCCUGGCUUUCCUUUCCUGGGGGUGUCAGGGCGCGAGUUCCUCUCCAUUCCUGGACUGGACCCUUCUGAGCAUUCUCUGGGUGCGAAGUUCCCCAAGAUGCCUGACGAGUUCUGACUCCUUUGAGAUAACCAUCACUGGGGCUGUGUUGACCGUGUCACAUGGUGCCAACCUGGCGUUUUCAACAUUCUGGAGAACUGCUUUUGUCCACUGAAAAGAUGAUUCCAGAGUCACUUAGGAACUUCUGUGUUUAAAAUUAUGAUUUGAUUUGUUAAAAUCACACAUCAAAAAAUAACUUCUUUAUCCCCUUUGGAUUCAACUUUGAUUAAUGUUUGAUCCCCAUUACAAACUUAGAACAUUAAA